rnacentral:rRNA from 1 species
CCUACGGGUGGCAGCAGUGGGGAAUAUUGCGCAAUGGGCGAAAGCCUGACGCAGCGACGCCGCGUGAGGGAUGAAGGUCUUCGGAUCGUAAAGCUCUAUCAGCAGGGAAGAAGAUGACGGUACCUGAGUAAGAAGCCCCGGCUAACUACGUGCCAGCAGCCGCGGUAAUACGUAGGGGGCAAGCGUUAUCCGGAUUUACUGGGUGUAAAGGGAGCGUAGACGGUGAGACAAGUCUGAAGUGAAAGCCCGGGGCUCAACCCCGGGACUGCUUUGGAAACUGCCUGACUGGAGUGCUGGAGAGGCAAGCGGAAUUCCUAGUGUAGCGGUGAAAUGCGUAGAUAUUAGGAAGAACACCAGUGGCGAAGGCGGCUUGCUGGACAGUAACUGACGUUGAGGCUCGAAAGCGUGGGGAGCAAACAGGAUUAGAUACCCCUGUAGUC